GAUGAACGCUGGCGGCGUGCCUAAUACAUGCAAGUCGAGCGAACAGAUGAGGAUCUUGCUCCUCUGACGUUAGCGGCGGACGGGUGAGUAACACGUGGAUAACCUACCUAUAAGACUGGGAUAACUUCGGGAAACCGGAGCUAAUACCGGAUAAUAUAUUGAACCGCAUGGUUCAAUAGUGAAAGACGGUUUUGCUGUCACUUAUAGAUGGAUCCGCGCCGCAUUAGCUAGUUGGUAAGGUAACGGCUUACCAAGGCAACGAUGCGUAGCCGACCUGAGAGGGUGAUCGGCCACACUGGAACUGAGACACGGUCCAGACUCCUACGGGAGGCAGCAGUAGGGAAUCUUCCGCAAUGGGCGAAAGCCUGACGGAGCAACGCCGCGUGAGUGAUGAAGGUCUUCGGAUCGGAAAACUCUGUUAUUAGGGAAGAACAAAUGUGUAAGUAACUAUGCACGUCUUGACGGUACCUGAUCAGAAAGCCACGGCUAACUACGUG
rnacentral:rRNA from 1 species